GACGAACGCUGGCGGCGUGCUUAAUACAUGCAAGUCAACUUGACUUUAGAUAGCAAUAUCGAAAAGUAGGGUGGCGCACGGGUGCGUAACGCGUAGGUAAUCUGCCCUGAGGUCUGACAUAACCCGUCGAAAGGCGGGCUAACAUCAGAUGAUAUAUAAUCACGACAUCGUGGAAAUAUCAAAUCUUCGGAGCCUUGGGAUGAGCCUGCGUCUGAUUAGGUAGUUGGCGGAGUAAUAGCCCACCAAGCCUACGAUCAGUAGCUGGUCUGAGAGGAUGAUCAGCCACACUGGAACUGAGACACGGUCCAGACUCCUACGGGAGGCAGCAGUAAGGAAUAUUGCUCAAUGGGGGAAACCCUGAAGCAGCAACGCCGCGUGAAGGAUGAAAUACUUUUGUAUGUGAACUUCUGUAAGAUGGGAAAAUAUUACUCCUCGGGAGAAUUGAUUGUACCAUCAGAGUAAGCCCCGGCUAACUACGUGCCAG
rnacentral:rRNA from 1 species